rnacentral:lncRNA from 1 species
CACGAUAUACAAACAAACAAAGAGAUAUUUCAUAUGAUACUAUUAUUUAGAAAAAGUUUGUUUUAAAAAAAUUAUGUAUAGAACAUACUUAAUAAAUAAAAAAUGAGAUAGAUAAACUUACUUCUUUCGAGAGAUGAGCAUAGAACAAAGCAGAGAGUGGUGUCUGCUCUGCUGGCUUGACCACCAUGGUGCAACCAGCAGCUAAAGCCGGAGCCACUUUCAUGGCAAACAUAAUGCUUGGAAAAUUCCAAGGGAUGAUGUGGCCGACCACUCCAAUAGGUUCUUUAAGUGUGUAUCCGAACAAAGACGGACGUGUCAUUCGAAGUGUCUCGCCGUGGAUUUUAUCCGCCGCACCCGCAUAGUACCGGAAAUGUCCGGCUGCAGCCGGAAUGUCAUUCAUUUUUCCCACUUGGAACAAUUUUCCGCCGUCAACCGCAUCAAGAGCAGCCAAUUCUUCAAUAUUCUGCUGUAUUAAGUCUGUAUAUUUGUUGAUAAUCCUUGCCCUCUCCUGAUCCGAUUAAAAUCACCGAAGCAUACAAUUAUAAACGACCUUAUCAAAAUUAGUUUAUUACACAUAAAACUAAAUUUGUAUAUAUACAUGGAAAAUUAAAAUAUGAUCAUAAUUAAUAUGAAUCAAUCUAUUUAUCAUCAUUUAGUUUUAGGUUGAAAAUUCAUCUAAUUUAAUAAUACAAACAACCUUAUCAAAACAAGAUUGUUAUAAAAUAUAAGUAAACUUAGAUAGAGUUUUCUGAAUAUGGGUAAACGUUUUUCUUAAUAACAUGAAAAUGACUUCGUGACACUAACAGCAAAAAUAAGUCAAAUCUGGACUCGUUCCCUAUACUGUAAAAAAUACACGAAUCAGUAUGGAUAUAUACUAAGAUACAACCCUAAUAAAUACAUAUUUAUUAGUGACCCACUACGUAUGGGACCACAUCAAUCAAUAAAUAUCAAUUAUUUUUUAUUUUAUAUAUUAUUUAUCAAUAAUUUGCUAACCAAAUUAAAAACGGGUAGGUACAAUAAAAAACAUGAGGUGAGAAAGAUAGGAACGUACGAAGCCAGUCAUUCGAGGCCAAGGACCAUGAUCGAAGGCGUGACGUGCAGCGUUAACGGCCAAGUCAACGUCUUCUUUGUCUCCUGCUGCUAUUUUCGCGAUCACUUCACCGUUCCUUGGGUCUAUGGUUUCAAAGGUUUUACCUUUAAAGUUUAAACACAUUAAAACAAAAACUGAAUGAUCAAAUAUUAUGUUUCAGAAAAAGAUUAUGCCAAAUUAAAUCAACCAGUCGGUUCAAUAUUCAAUCACGAGUUUUUACAUCUUCGUUUACAUUGUUAAGAACAAUACUUUAGCAAUAAUAUUAGUAAAAAAAACUUCUAGAAAAGGUUGCACCAAAAAAAAAACUUCUAGAAAAGGAAGAAAAAUAUUAGAGAAGAAAAUUAUAAAUUUGGGCUGAGAAGAGAAAUAGUCAGGUGGGACCAUCAACCACUGGUGUUUGAUAGUAGAACAUGUUUCCAGUCAGGAUAGCUUUUGAUAUAGGUUGUCAGAAGAAAAAAUGUUUCUUCCAACAACUUAAUAGUCAUCCAAAUUAGCCACUGAACUUUUAGUUGUACAUAUUUUAGGGAUUGGUCUAGGCUCAUGAUUCGCAUCCAAUGAAACCAGAUCCGAAGGAUACCGAAACAAAACAUUGGUGUCAUCCCAAAAAUUGAAGUGUUUAACAUGCAUAUAUUACCUGGUUCUCAAAAUAUCAAAAAUAUCUGUGUGGAUUAUACGUAUCCUAAAUCAUAAUUGUUUCAAGUUUCAUAUAUUUCAGAACGAUCAAAACAUUUUCAAUCUUUUUGGGGAGACGUAAUUUGGUUAAAUGCACAGAGAAGAAUCUGAGGCAGGGAUUUAGAUAGUCAAAGCCAAAAUCAGAAAAUAGGAAGGAUCUUGAUACAUAUUUUCUUCUGUUAAUGUCAACGUUUUGGAAUUGUGAGAUUAAGUAGAUAAGUAGUGAAAUUUAAAAACCUGAAGCAGCAUCAAGAAACUGGCCGUUAAUGAAAAGCUUGGUGAAUUUGAUCUCCGGUAACUUCGCCGUCGCGCCUCCGUUGCAUUUACCGUUCUCCAUCUUUCUCCUUUUUUUCUCUCUCUCUCUCUGUUCAGAGGACAAUAGAAGGACAGAGAGGUUAUGUAUGUAUUUAUAUCCAAGCCUCCCGUUUCACACGUCAGCAAGGCAAGUGAUUCAACAAAGUUUCGGAGCAUCAAUAUCCCAAAAACCCAAAUGGAAUGCUUAUUAUUAUUAUAAUCUUUUUUUUAGUUUUUAAUUAAAAAUAAAAUAAAAACAGAACCAAUCGUAGACCGCCACGUAUCGUGAGGUCUGCAAAACAGUACAAGAUACACCCAACAAAGUUUCUUAUUCUACGACUAUAAAGCAUGGUUUUUUCAAUAAUCGUGGGCCCCACCACGUAAGAAACGCUCAGCAUACUACGAUGCAGAUGCUCUUAAGGGUGAGGUUUUUCACAAAAUAAUAGACCCCACACCUACAUACACAUAUACAAUAUAUACUUAUACACAUAUGAAUUUUUAGAAUUCCAAUGGGUAAAAGCCCAGUAGUCUAAUAUACUAAACUGAAAAAGAAGGGGGGGAGAUAAAUUUUGACUGACCUAUCGUCUUGUUGAUGCAGAUAAAUAUUUAGACAUUAUCUAGUGUUUUUUUUUUCAGCAGACAUUAUUUGCUUACAUUAUUAUUAAGAAUACCAAUGUAAUUCUACUUAAGACUUAUUUAUUAUUACAACCAAUAUUUUUAAAUUCGAUCCGGACACUGAACCGGAUAAUUUUAUGGGUCACCAGGUUAUUGAAUCGAUCGCCGGCAAACCGGGGUGUAAUAAACUGAGAAGGGGGGGGGGAGGUGUAAUAAAUUUUUACCGAGCUAUCGUCUUGUUGAUUCAGGUAAAUAUUUGGACAUUAUCUAGUGUUUUUUUUUUCCAGCAGACAUUAUCUGCUUACAUUAUUAUUAAGAAUACCAAUUUCAUUCUAAUUAAGACUUAUUUAUUAUUACAACCAAUAUUUUUAAACUCGACCCGGACACUGAACCGGAUAAUUUUAUGGGUCACUAGGUUAUUGGAUCGAUUGCUGGCAAACCAGGAAUUAAUUAAUUAAUUAAUUUUUAUAUAAUAAUAUAUUAGCGAUUAAAAAUAUAAUAUAUACUUUAUGUAUCAAACAAAGUUUACAAACUACUUAACUUUAAUUUAUUUUUUUUCAAUUUUAUUUGAUAUAAAAAUAUCAGAAAAUAAUUUAGACUAAGUAACAAUUUUUGUAACAAGUUAAGAGUUAUGGAAUUUGAUAAAAAUAUGAAGACUUAAAAUUCAUAAGUAUUUAAAACAUGAGUGAUAAAAUUAUACUUUAAAUCCAAAAUAAACCAAAAGUAAAACAUCAAAUUGUAAUAGAUUAUUGAUAACAAAAAUAAACUAAUACCAAAUUACAUGAACUAUUUUAUUUCUCUCUCUAUCAUUGUUAACUUCAUUUUCUUCAAGUGACAUAGUUAAAUGUUCAUUAAAAUCUAAAAAUCACAAAUAAAUAGUUUAAUUAGUAUUAUAUAUGAUAAAAACUAAAAACUUAAAUUCUUAAUUAGAAUACAAAACAGAUUCUAGUAACCUAAAUUAAAAAAAAUCUAAGAAUAUAAAGUAAAAAUUACCUACUAAUUCAACCACUGGUUAAAUCGGUAGUCGGAUUCCGGAUUUUAAUGGUUUUUUAUGGGUUUUAUUGGUUUUUUAUGGUUUUUUUAUAAAACUCAAACCAAAUUAUACAUCGGAUCAUCGAGUUUACCAGUUAGACCGGUGGCGGUUCUUCGGCUAAACCGGAGUUCGGUUUAGCCUGUGGGGUUGAUUCGGGGGAGUUUGUGUUUAUGAACACUAAGGUUUAUUUGGAGAAGAGUAAUGGUUUUGAUGAGAUGAUGGAUAGUCCUGGUGAUUCGGAGGAGGAUGAUGAUGAGGAGGAGGAGGUUGAGUAUGAGAGGAGGAGGAAGAAGGGGGACGAUGCGGCGUCGUAUAAGCUCUUGGCGGAGUCGGUUGAGAGGUUUGGCAAGGUUUAUGAGAAGAUGGAGAGGAGUAAGAAGGAGCAGAUGAAGGAGUUGGAGAAGAUGAGAGGUGAGUUUCAGAGGGAUUUGGAGUUGCAGAAGAAACAGAUUGUGGAGAGAGCUCAGUCUGAGAUCGCUAGGCUACGUGAAGAAGAGGAGGAGAACGAGACUCAUCAUGAUGAUGAUGGUGGUGAGAGUGAAGAUGAGGGGAUGGACAAUGAUUCUGAUGUCAAUCUCAGUGAUUGAAUCAUUUAAUAACACUAGGUUUGUGUGUUUGUUUUAUUAGAUUCAAGAAAGAUUAUGUUUUUGUUUUUCGUCUUGGGGGAAUUCAGAAUUAUUAAGUUUCUGUAACUUUUGUUUGAUGGUUACAAGUUUUAUUGAUAUGGAUUAGUAAGGAUUAUUGUAAUAGCCAUGACAAGUCUCUCAAAUCCAUGCAUUGUUUUAUUUCCUCGUCAAGUCUCUCAAAUCCAUGCUGCUUCAAGCCUCACCAAGGAGUAAGUCAUUUGGAACAGGCAAUUGAUCAUCAUCAGCUGCAACUGCAAGUGGAUUCUAAAAGUAUUGGGCCAUUUGUUUCCUGAUUUUGAUUUGUAUUUUUUAUUCAAUAAAAGUAACGGCCUGGGCAUGCUUCUAGGAGAGAAAUUUAAAGCAAUUUCAAAAGAUCUCAGGACAUCGAGGCAGCUAUGAUGUGAAUUCAGGCUGUUUAGUGGCUCUUUCAGUAAGUAUUGUUCGAGCUUCAGUAUUCUCCACUCAUAUCUUGGUUAUGGUACAAGAUUAAUAACUUAAAGUUAGGUACAUGUCAAACCAUAUACCAAACUAAAUUCGUAUAGUUAUCAUUUACACAUUUAAUAGAAUCUAACGGGAACGGGAGGUGCGGAUGCUGGUGGAGUGAGAGAUAUACAUAGACAUUAGAAAUGUAGAUUUCUGAAAUAGCUAUAAGACUCCUUGACAUGCAAUUGGACACUAUAAUCAUUGUUAAACGGAGAUCCAGCUACACGUACUGAUAAAAUUUGUUGCAAAAAAAAAAAGAAGAAGCAAUUGUUGACAUCCUAAUCCGAAGAUCCUUACUGCUCGAAUAAGAUUUGCUAAAAAGGAGUGUACACGUUUGAACGAAAAAUCACUUGUACGAGACAAAUAAUAAACCUCUUUUGUUAACUAGUGUUUCAAAAAAUAACAAAACUCUUAUUGAUUUAGUAAAUGGACAAAAGAAAAACGUACUGUAAAAAAAAGAUCACACAUGCUUUUAUUAAUGAUUACGUUUGUAUUUUAACUAUGGACAAUUUGGCUACAUCCAAGGGGAGUUGUGAAGAGGCAUAGCAAUGGAUUUGACUUGAAGAUAGCUAUCGAGAGCGUCCAUGCCACUUUCACGACAAUUACCACUCAUCUUGUAGCCACCGUAAGGCGAGUCGAGGUCAAAUGCGAAGUAGCAGUUAACCCAAAUGACUCCAGCUUUGAUUGAUCUCGAAACCGUGUUGAUCACGUCAACGUUUUGGCUCACUAUUCCAGCUGCUAGACCGUAUUUCGUGUUGUUUGCGCAUUUGAUUCCUUCCUCCAUAGUCCUGUGGAAGCAAAUAUAUAUAGAGAUGUUUAGUGUUCUAUGGAAUGUGAUCAAGAAUGAGAAGAGAAAAUGGGGGAGUUUUCGUUUGCUUUACUUGAAUUUCAUCAAAGACAUAACUGGUCCAAAGAUUUCUUCUUUGUAUAUCUUCAUAUCGUCCUGUAACCAACAAAAAUAAAAACCCAUUAUUUAAAACAAACUUGUUACUAGGGACUUACGCGACAUUUCUGGUCCCGGUCCUAGUCCGAAGGAUUCAAGAAAUGUGUAAUAUUACCGUGACAUCUGCGAAUAUAGUUGGUUCGAUGUAGUAUCCUUUGUCUCCAAUAGCGUUCCCUCCAGUUAAUAACGUAGCUCCUUCGUUUUUGCCAUGCUCAAUGUAAGAGAGAACCUUCUCAUAUUGUUUUUUAUCCACCUGAAGACACCAAAAAAUAAUCAACUAAUAUAAUCUACUUAAAUCUACUCAUAAUCAAAGAUCAAUGAACUAGUCUAUUUUACUUGAGGUCCUUGUCGAGAAGUGGAAUCAAAAGGGUCACCAACGGGCCAGUCUUUAACCUUCUCCACCAUUUUCGCUACAACCUUAUCGUAUAUACCUUCUUGGACAAACACACGAGAGCUCGCCACGCAGAUCUCACCCUGCACAAUCCACCAAAUAUGUUUUACAUAACAAUGUCACAAUAUUGGUUGAUAUUUGGCCUCUAUGAUAUUAUACCUUGUUGUAGAAGCAACCUAGUAGCGCAAGUUCGGCGGCUUUGUUAACAUCUGCAUCAUCGAAAAUGAGAAGAGGCGAUUUUCCGCCUAAUUCAAGGGACACUUUUUUUAGAUUGCUUGUGGCUGCGGCUUGCAUUAUCUUCCUCCCAACAUCAGUUGAUCCCGUGAAACUAACCUGAGCACAAAAAAACAAAAGACAUGAAUUCACAUACAACUAACAAAAGCCCCAUUACUUGAUGAAUCCACAAACUAAUUAUCUCAUAAGACGAUAGUUAUUUUACUUUGUCAAUGUCCAUAUGAGAGGCAAUGGCAGCUCCAGCAGUUGACCCAAAUCCAGUCACCACGUUGAUCACGCCAUCAGGAAAUCCCGCCUGUGAAUUUUCAACAAAAAUAAAUACAAUGUUUAGAUAGUUAAGCUUUAAUUUCUUCGAUUGCCUACACGUUUGGCAUUACUAUGAACAAGCUAUAGUUGUGUGUUUACUUUUAAAAUGAUACCAAAGCUUUUAGUGUUUUAUGUGUAUGGAUUGUUUCUUUGUUUAUGUGUAUGGAUUGUUUCUUUGUUUAUAUUUGUUUAUGUGUAUGGAUUGUUUCUUUGUUUAUGUUAUAUAGUAUUAAGAGUAAACGUAUACGUAACCACAAUAUACAAAUUACAAACAAACAAACAAACAAAGCGAUAUUUUAUAUGAUUUUAGAAAAUGUUUGUUUUAAAAAAUUAUGUAUAGAACAACCACGAUAUACAAACAAACAAAGAGAUAUUUCAUAUGAUACUAUUAUUUAGAAAAAGUUUGUUUUAAAAAAAUUAUGUAUAGAACAUACUUAAUAAAUAAAAAAUGAGAUAGAUAAACUUACUUCUUUCGAGAGAUGAGCAUAGAACAAAGCAGAGAGUGGUGUCUGCUCUGCUGGCUUGACCACCAUGGUGCAACCAGCAGCUAAAGCCGGAGCCACUUUCAUGGCAAACAUAAUGCUUGGAAAAUUCCAAGGGAUGAUGUGGCCGACCACUCCAAUAGGUUCUUUAAGUGUGUAUCCGAACAAAGACGGACGUGUCAUUCGAAGUGUCUCGCCGUGGAUUUUAUCCGCCGCACCCGCAUAGUACCGGAAAUGUCCGGCUGCAGCCGGAAUGUCAUUCAUUUUUCCCACUUGGAACAAUUUUCCGCCGUCAACCGCAUCAAGAGCAGCCAAUUCUUCAAUAUUCUGCUGUAUUAAGUCUGUAUAUUUGUUGAUAAUCCUUGCCCUCUCCUGAUCCGAUUAAAAUCACCGAAGCAUACAAUUAUAAACGACCUUAUCAAAAUUAGUUUAUUACACAUAAAACUAAAUUUGUAUAUAUACAUGGAAAAUUAAAAUAUGAUCAUAAUUAAUAUGAAUCAAUCUAUUUAUCAUCAUUUAGUUUUAGGUUGAAAAUUCAUCUAAUUUAAUAAUACAAACAACCUUAUCAAAACAAGAUUGUUAUAAAAUAUAAGUAAACUUAGAUAGAGUUUUCUGAAUAUGGGUAAACGUUUUUCUUAAUAACAUGAAAAUGACUUCGUGACACUAACAGCAAAAAUAAGUCAAAUCUGGACUCGUUCCCUAUACUGUAAAAAAUACACGAAUCAGUAUGGAUAUAUACUAAGAUACAACCCUAAUAAAUACAUAUUUAUUAGUGACCCACUACGUAUGGGACCACAUCAAUCAAUAAAUAUCAAUUAUUUUUUAUUUUAUAUAUUAUUUAUCAAUAAUUUGCUAACCAAAUUAAAAACGGGUAGGUACAAUAAAAAACAUGAGGUGAGAAAGAUAGGAACGUACGAAGCCAGUCAUUCGAGGCCAAGGACCAUGAUCGAAGGCGUGACGUGCAGCGUUAACGGCCAAGUCAACGUCUUCUUUGUCUCCUGCUGCUAUUUUCGCGAUCACUUCACCGUUCCUUGGGUCUAUGGUUUCAAAGGUUUUACCUUUAAAGUUUAAACACAUUAAAACAAAAACUGAAUGAUCAAAUAUUAUGUUUCAGAAAAAGAUUAUGCCAAAUUAAAUCAACCAGUCGGUUCAAUAUUCAAUCACGAGUUUUUACAUCUUCGUUUACAUUGUUAAGAACAAUACUUUAGCAAUAAUAUUAGUAAAAAAAACUUCUAGAAAAGGUUGCACCAAAAAAAAAACUUCUAGAAAAGGAAGAAAAAUAUUAGAGAAGAAAAUUAUAAAUUUGGGCUGAGAAGAGAAAUAGUCAGGUGGGACCAUCAACCACUGGUGUUUGAUAGUAGAACAUGUUUCCAGUCAGGAUAGCUUUUGAUAUAGGUUGUCAGAAGAAAAAAUGUUUCUUCCAACAACUUAAUAGUCAUCCAAAUUAGCCACUGAACUUUUAGUUGUACAUAUUUUAGGGAUUGGUCUAGGCUCAUGAUUCGCAUCCAAUGAAACCAGAUCCGAAGGAUACCGAAACAAAACAUUGGUGUCAUCCCAAAAAUUGAAGUGUUUAACAUGCAUAUAUUACCUGGUUCUCAAAAUAUCAAAAAUAUCUGUGUGGAUUAUACGUAUCCUAAAUCAUAAUUGUUUCAAGUUUCAUAUAUUUCAGAACGAUCAAAACAUUUUCAAUCUUUUUGGGGAGACGUAAUUUGGUUAAAUGCACAGAGAAGAAUCUGAGGCAGGGAUUUAGAUAGUCAAAGCCAAAAUCAGAAAAUAGGAAGGAUCUUGAUACAUAUUUUCUUCUGUUAAUGUCAACGUUUUGGAAUUGUGAGAUUAAGUAGAUAAGUAGUGAAAUUUAAAAACCUGAAGCAGCAUCAAGAAACUGGCCGUUAAUGAAAAGCUUGGUGAAUUUGAUCUCCGGUAACUUCGCCGUCGCGCCUCCGUUGCAUUUACCGUUCUCCAUCUUUCUCCUUUUUUUCUCUCUCUCUCUCUGUUCAGAGGACAAUAGAAGGACAGAGAGGUUAUGUAUGUAUUUAUAUCCAAGCCUCCCGUUUCACACGUCAGCAAGGCAAGUGAUUCAACAAAGUUUCGGAGCAUCAAUAUCCCAAAAACCCAAAUGGAAUGCUUAUUAUUAUUAUAAUCUUUUUUUUAGUUUUUAAUUAAAAAUAAAAUAAAAACAGAACCAAUCGUAGACCGCCACGUAUCGUGAGGUCUGCAAAACAGUACAAGAUACACCCAACAAAGUUUCUUAUUCUACGACUAUAAAGCAUGGUUUUUUCAAUAAUCGUGGGCCCCACCACGUAAGAAACGCUCAGCAUACUACGAUGCAGAUGCUCUUAAGGGUGAGGUUUUUCACAAAAUAAUAGACCCCACACCUACAUACACAUAUACAAUAUAUACUUAUACACAUAUGAAUUUUUAGAAUUCCAAUGGGUAAAAGCCCAGUAGUCUAAUAUACUAAACUGAAAAAGAAGGGGGGGAGAUAAAUUUUGACUGACCUAUCGUCUUGUUGAUGCAGAUAAAUAUUUAGACAUUAUCUAGUGUUUUUUUUUUCAGCAGACAUUAUUUGCUUACAUUAUUAUUAAGAAUACCAAUGUAAUUCUACUUAAGACUUAUUUAUUAUUACAACCAAUAUUUUUAAAUUCGAUCCGGACACUGAACCGGAUAAUUUUAUGGGUCACCAGGUUAUUGAAUCGAUCGCCGGCAAACCGGGGUGUAAUAAACUGAGAAGGGGGGGGGGAGGUGUAAUAAAUUUUUACCGAGCUAUCGUCUUGUUGAUUCAGGUAAAUAUUUGGACAUUAUCUAGUGUUUUUUUUUUCCAGCAGACAUUAUCUGCUUACAUUAUUAUUAAGAAUACCAAUUUCAUUCUAAUUAAGACUUAUUUAUUAUUACAACCAAUAUUUUUAAACUCGACCCGGACACUGAACCGGAUAAUUUUAUGGGUCACUAGGUUAUUGGAUCGAUUGCUGGCAAACCAGGAAUUAAUUAAUUAAUUAAUUUUUAUAUAAUAAUAUAUUAGCGAUUAAAAAUAUAAUAUAUACUUUAUGUAUCAAACAAAGUUUACAAACUACUUAACUUUAAUUUAUUUUUUUUCAAUUUUAUUUGAUAUAAAAAUAUCAGAAAAUAAUUUAGACUAAGUAACAAUUUUUGUAACAAGUUAAGAGUUAUGGAAUUUGAUAAAAAUAUGAAGACUUAAAAUUCAUAAGUAUUUAAAACAUGAGUGAUAAAAUUAUACUUUAAAUCCAAAAUAAACCAAAAGUAAAACAUCAAAUUGUAAUAGAUUAUUGAUAACAAAAAUAAACUAAUACCAAAUUACAUGAACUAUUUUAUUUCUCUCUCUAUCAUUGUUAACUUCAUUUUCUUCAAGUGACAUAGUUAAAUGUUCAUUAAAAUCUAAAAAUCACAAAUAAAUAGUUUAAUUAGUAUUAUAUAUGAUAAAAACUAAAAACUUAAAUUCUUAAUUAGAAUACAAAACAGAUUCUAGUAACCUAAAUUAAAAAAAAUCUAAGAAUAUAAAGUAAAAAUUACCUACUAAUUCAACCACUGGUUAAAUCGGUAGUCGGAUUCCGGAUUUUAAUGGUUUUUUAUGGGUUUUAUUGGUUUUUUAUGGUUUUUUUAUAAAACUCAAACCAAAUUAUACAUCGGAUCAUCGAGUUUACCAGUUAGACCGCCGAUCCGGACCGGGUUUCAAAACACUGCUUACAACCAUUCAUGUAGGUUUUACCUCUCAUUUGCGUUUAACUGUUUAAAAAAAAUACUAGAACUAUUUUAAUUUUUUAAAGUUUCUUGAAAUCAUUUUUAAGACUCGUAUACAUAAACAUAUGUGGUUGAACAAAAAAAAAACUUAGGUGUUUCCAUGGGAGCGUCUCCAGUGAAAAAAGUAUAUCCAGUCUACACAUAAGAAUAUAAAAUAAUUAAUUUCCAUAGAUGCGUUAAAAAAAUAUGAAUCUUCUUUUAUUUUUUCAAUCAAAAUUGUCAUUGACUUUGAAUAUACUAAAUACUGAGACUCACUACAGUUCUGUAUACAUUGGUGUAAAUGUGAAAGAAAUAAAAAGAAAAUUCGAAAGUGACAGAAAAGUAAAAAUAACCUACAAUACAAUAAAAGGUGGCGGUUCUUCGGCUAAACCGGAGUUCGGUUUAGCCUGUGGGGUUGAUUCCGGGGAGUUUGUGUUUAUGAACACUAAGGUUUAUUUGGAGAAGAGUAAUGGUUUUGAUGAGAUGAUGGAUAGUCCUGGUGAUUCGGAGGAGGAUGAUGAGGAGGAGUAUGAGAGGAGGAGGAAGAAGGGGGAUGAUGCGGCGUCGUAUAAGCUUUUGGCGGAGUCGGUUGAGAGGUUUGGGAAGGUUUUUGAGAAGAUGGAGAGGAGUAAGAAGGAGCAGAUGAAGGAGUUGGAGAAGAUGAGAGGUGAGUUUCAGAGAGAUUUGGAGUUGCAGAAGAAACAGAUUGUGGAGAGAGCUCAGUCUGAGAUCGCUAGGCUACGUGAAGAAGAGGAGGAGAAUCAUCAUGAUGAUGGUGGUGGUGAGAGUGAAGAUGAGGGAAUGGAGAAUGAUUCUGAUGUCAAUCUCAGUGAUUGAAUAAUUUAAUAACUAGGUUUGUAUGUUUGUUUUAUUAGAUUCAAGAAAGAUUAUGUUUUGCAUUUUGGGUAAUUCACAACUGGUAAGUGUUUGUAACUUGUGUUUGAUGGUUACAAGUUUUAUUGAUAUGGAUUAGUAAGGAUUAUUGUAAUAGCCAUGACAAGUGUCUCAAAUCCAUGCAUUGUUUUAUUUCCUCGUCAAGACAUUUUUGGUCUGAGGAUGAAUGCUGCUUCAAGCCUCACCAAGGAGUAAGUCAUUUGGAACAGGCAAUUGAUCAUCAUCAGCUGCAACUGCAAGUGGAUUCUAAAAGUAUUGGGCCAUUUGUUUCGUGAUUUUGAUUUGUAUUUUUUUUUCAAGAAAAGUAACGGCCUGGCCAUGAUUCUAGGAGAGAAAUUUAAAGCAAUUGCAAAAGAUCUCUGGACAUCGAGGCAGCUAUGAUGUGAAUUCAGGCUGUUUAGUGGCCUAUUUCAGUAAGUAUUGUUCGAGCUUCAGUAUUCUCCACUCAUAUCUUGGUUAUGGUACAAGAUUAAUAAUUUAAAGUUAGGUACAUGUCAAAACCAUAUACCAAACCAAAUUCGUAUAGUUAUCAUUUACACAUUUAAUAGAAUCUAACGGGAACGGGAGGUGCGGAUGCUGGUGGAGUGAGAGAUAUACAUAGACAUUAGAAAUGUAGAUUUCUGAAAUAGCUAUAAGACUCCUUGACAUGCAAUUGGACACUAUAAUCAUUGUUAAACGGAGAUCCAGCUACACGUACUGAUAAAAUUUGUUGCAAAAAAAAAAAGAAGAAGCAAUUGUUGACAUCCUAAUCCGAAGAUCCUUACUGCUCGAAUAAGAUUUGCUAAAAAGGAGUGUACACGUUUGAACGAAAAAUCACUUGUACGAGACAAAUAAUAAACCUCUUUUGUUAACUAGUGUUUCAAAAAAUAACAAAACUCUUAUUGAUUUAGUAAAUGGACAAAAGAAAAACGUACUGUAAAAAAAAGAUCACACAUGCUUUUAUUAAUGAUUACGUUUGUAUUUUAACUAUGGACAAUUUGGCUACAUCCAAGGGGAGUUGUGAAGAGGCAUAGCAAUGGAUUUGACUUGAAGAUAGCUAUCGAGAGCGUCCAUGCCACUUUCACGACAAUUACCACUCAUCUUGUAGCCACCGUAAGGCGAGUCGAGGUCAAAUGCGAAGUAGCAGUUAACCCAAAUGACUCCAGCUUUGAUUGAUCUCGAAACCGUGUUGAUCACGUCAACGUUUUGGCUCACUAUUCCAGCUGCUAGACCGUAUUUCGUGUUGUUUGCGCAUUUGAUUCCUUCCUCCAUAGUCCUGUGGAAGCAAAUAUAUAUAGAGAUGUUUAGUGUUCUAUGGAAUGUGAUCAAGAAUGAGAAGAGAAAAUGGGGGAGUUUUCGUUUGCUUUACUUGAAUUUCAUCAAAGACAUAACUGGUCCAAAGAUUUCUUCUUUGUAUAUCUUCAUAUCGUCCUGUAACCAACAAAAAUAAAAACCCAUUAUUUAAAACAAACUUGUUACUAGGGACUUACGCGACAUUUCUGGUCCCGGUCCUAGUCCGAAGGAUUCAAGAAAUGUGUAAUAUUACCGUGACAUCUGCGAAUAUAGUUGGUUCGAUGUAGUAUCCUUUGUCUCCAAUAGCGUUCCCUCCAGUUAAUAACGUAGCUCCUUCGUUUUUGCCAUGCUCAAUGUAAGAGAGAACCUUCUCAUAUUGUUUUUUAUCCACCUGAAGACACCAAAAAAUAAUCAACUAAUAUAAUCUACUUAAAUCUACUCAUAAUCAAAGAUCAAUGAACUAGUCUAUUUUACUUGAGGUCCUUGUCGAGAAGUGGAAUCAAAAGGGUCACCAACGGGCCAGUCUUUAACCUUCUCCACCAUUUUCGCUACAACCUUAUCGUAUAUACCUUCUUGGACAAACACACGAGAGCUCGCCACGCAGAUCUCACCCUGCACAAUCCACCAAAUAUGUUUUACAUAACAAUGUCACAAUAUUGGUUGAUAUUUGGCCUCUAUGAUAUUAUACCUUGUUGUAGAAGCAACCUAGUAGCGCAAGUUCGGCGGCUUUGUUAACAUCUGCAUCAUCGAAAAUGAGAAGAGGCGAUUUUCCGCCUAAUUCAAGGGACACUUUUUUUAGAUUGCUUGUGGCUGCGGCUUGCAUUAUCUUCCUCCCAACAUCAGUUGAUCCCGUGAAACUAACCUGAGCACAAAAAAACAAAAGACAUGAAUUCACAUACAACUAACAAAAGCCCCAUUACUUGAUGAAUCCACAAACUAAUUAUCUCAUAAGACGAUAGUUAUUUUACUUUGUCAAUGUCCAUAUGGGAGGCAAUGGCAGCUCCAGCAGUUGAUCCAAAUCCAGUCACCACGUUGAUCACGCCAUCAGGAAAUCCCGCCUGUGAAUUUUCAACAAAAAUAAAUACAAUGUUUAGAUAGUUAAGCUUUAAUUUCUUCGAUUGCCUACACGUUUGGCAUUACUAUGAACAAGCUAUAGUUGUGUGUUUACUUUUAAAAUGAUACCAAAGCUUUUAGUGUUUUAUGUGUAUGGAUUGUUUCUUUGUUUAUGUGUAUGGAUUGUUUCUUUGUUUAUAUUUGUUUAUGUGUAUGGAUUGUUUCUUUGUUUAUGUUAUAUAGUAUUAAGAGUAAACGUAUACGUAACCACAAUAUACAAAUUACAAACAAACAAACAAACAAAGCGAUAUUUUAUAUGAUUUUAGAAAAUGUUUGUUUUAAAAAAUUAUGUAUAGAACAACCACGAUAUACAAACAAACAAAGAGAUAUUUCAUAUGAUACUAUUAUUUAGAAAAAGUUUGUUUUAAAAAAAUUAUGUAUAGAACAUACUUAAUAAAUAAAAAAUGAGAUAGAUAAACUUACUUCUUUCGAGAGAUGAGCAUAGAACAAAGCAGAGAGUGGUGUCUGCUCUGCUGGCUUGACCACCAUGGUGCAACCAGCAGCUAAAGCCGGAGCCACUUUCAUGGCAAACAUAAUGCUUGGAAAAUUCCAAGGGAUGAUGUGGCCGACCACUCCAAUAGGUUCUUUAAGUGUGUAUCCGAACAAAGACGGACGUGUCAUUCGAAGUGUCUCGCCGUGGAUUUUAUCCGCCGCACCCGCAUAGUACCGGAAAUGUCCGGCUGCAGCCGGAAUGUCAUUCAUUUUUCCCACCUGGAACAAUUUUCCGCCGUCAA